UGACUAAACUUACGUAUGCAGGAGGCCCGCUGCCAGCUUUAUAGAAGCAAGACCACAGAGCCACCCAGCUCCAGGGACACUGCAAAGGGCCUGACAGGUGGCAGGCAGAACAAGGGCCAUUUCACCAGCAGGAAGGGCCCCAACAUGCAGUCUGGACUGCCUGCUCUCUUGUGCACAGUGGUGGCCUUCAUCCUCUUCGGUUCCAGCAAUACACAGAGUGUCACUCAAACUCCAGGUCCAGUGAAUAAACAAGAGGGAGAAUCUGUGAGCUUGCACUGUAGUUUCACACUCAGCUAUACUUACUAUGUGAUGAGCUGGUUUCGACAGCUUUCCAAUGGAAAGAUGACUGAAAUCAUUUAUCUUUAUUCUGAUAGCACAAACACCAAGAAAGGACGAUAUUCUGUAUCUCAUCAGAAAGGAAACAAAGCCCUAAGUCUCACCAUCACAGGCUUGAUGCCUACAGACUCAGGUGUCUAUUUCUGUGCUGUUGGAGAAGCUCCACGGUGAGAAGAGUGACGGGGAGAGCC